GUCAGCAGUAAUACUGUAUUUUGAAAAAGGAACAUGGAUCACUGUUCUAGGGAAGAACGAUGAAAUCCUAUCUCCAGCUGUGGCCAUCUUUUCCCCAUCAAAGCAAGAGAUCCAACAGAAGAGCAAGGCCACGCUGGUAUGCCUGGCCUCUGGUUUCUAUCCUGACCACCUGAAUCUGGUCUGGAAGGUGAAUGGUGCUAAGAGGACAGAAGGUGUGGGGACAGAUGAGUUUUCCACACGGAAUGGGAGUACCUAUUCAUUGAUCAUCCGAUUAAGGAUCUCAGCCCAGGAAUGGUUCAACCCUUUAAACCCUUUUGAGUGUGUUGCCAAUUUUUUCAGAAUGGAACACUGGAAUCGAUACACAAAUUCAUCUAUG